UGAAUUUUGGCGGUGACACCCAUCUUGGUGUAGCACACUAGCACUUGAAACAAAAUCCCCCUGCUCCCCAUUCUGAUCAAUCACACUCGCCUUCAUCACCUCAAACCUCCAUUUUCCCCAAUUCGCAACAAUGUCUCUCAAUCUUCGCCAAAAACAAACAGAAUGUAUAAUCAGGAUGUUGAAUCUGAACCAACCGGUGAAUUCCUCAUCAGGAAUGGCAAACGAAGAGGUCUACAAGAUCUUGAUCUACGAUAAAUCUUCCCAAGACAUUCUCUCUCCUCUCAUCCAUGUGAAAGACUUACGCAAGCAUGGCGUCACUCUCUUCUUCCUCAUCGACAAACCCCGCAAACCCAUUCCCGACGUUCCCGCCGUUUACUUCAUCCGUCCAACUCCGUCAAAUCUUCAACGCGUGGUUGCGGAUGCUGCCGUACCUCUAUACGACACAUUUCAUCUCAACUUCUCAUCUUCGAUUCCUCGCCCUUUGCUGGAGGAUCUUGCAUCUGGACUCCUUAAAUCGAACGACGCCAUUUCUAGGGUUUCCAAGGUACAUGAUCAGUACUUGGAUUUUGUUACUUUAGAAGAUAACUUGUUUUCGCUUGCAUUUAGUAAUUGUUAUGUGCAAUUGAAUGAUCCUAAAGCCGAGCAGAGGGAAAUUGAGGAGAUUAUUGAGAAUGUUGUUGAUGGGUUGUUCUGCGUUUUGGCUACAUUGUCUGUAGUGCCGAUUAUUCGGAGCCCUCAAGGAGGGGCUGCCGAAAUGGUGGCUUCCUCUUUGGAUCAGAGGCUUAGGGACCAUUUAUUGUCUAAGAAUAAUUUGUUUAGUGAGGGUGGGAAUUUUGCCUCGUCAUUUCAGAGGCCGGUUUUGUGUUUGUUUGAUAGGAAUUUCGAGUUGGCUAUGGGGAUUCAACAUGAUUUUAGGUAUAAGCCGCUUGUUCAUGAUGUGCUUGGAUUGAGGCUUAAUAGGGUGAGUGUGCAAGGAGAGAAGGGUGGCAUGAAGUCUUUUGAGCUGGAUGGAUUGGAUCCAUUUUGGGUGGCAAACGGAGGGCUAGAGUUUCCGGAGGUGGCAGUUGAGAUCGAGAAUCAGCUCACCAAGUAUAAGAAAGAUGUGGAUGAGGUGAAUCGGAGGACUGGUGGCACGAGUGGGGCAGAGUUUGAUGGGACGGAUUUGAUUGGGAACACAAAACAUUUGAUGAGUGCAGUCAACUCAUUACCUGAGUUGACAGAGCGAAAGCAAGUGAUUGAUAAGCACACGAAUAUUGCGACUGUGUUGUUGGGUGAGAUUAAGGAGAGGUCGCUCGAUUCUUAUGCUAAGAAAGAGUAUGAUAUGAUGGUAAGGGGGAGUAUUGAUAUGAAUGAGUUGAUGGGUGUGCUUAAAGGGAAAGGGUCCAAGAUGGAUAAGCUCCGUUUUGCUAUUAUGUAUCUUAUUUCUUUGGAGACCGUCCCACUAUCUGAAGCAGAAAUGGUGGAGACGGCACUCAGAGAAGCUGAGGUUGAUACUAGUGCAUUUCAGUACGUGAAAAAGAUAAAGUCAUUGAAUGUUCCGUUGACUUCUGCUAAUGCUGCAAGCAGAGGUAACAUAGUUGGCUGGGCUGGGAAUCUCUUGGCUGCUGGUAUGAAGAAUCUUAUGUCAGGUGACAGUCAGCUGGCAUUGGCAAGGACAGUUGAAGCUUUGAUGGAAGGAAGACCUAACCAAGAGGUUGACUCCUACCUGCUGUUUGAUCCUCGAGCUCCUAAGUCUAGUUCUGGUAGUCAUAUUAGAGGACCAUUUAAAGAGGCUAUUGUAUUUAUGAUUGGGGGUGGAAAUUACGUGGAACAUGCAAGUCUGCAAGAGCUUGUGUCCAGACAGCAGCCAGCCAGGCAUAUUAUAUAUGGAACGACAGAGAUUCUCACUGGGGCUGAGUUUGUUGAGCAGCUUACCUUACUGGGAAAGAAAAUGGGAUUGGGGGCUAACCUUGCUUCUUCAGCCCAUUGAUCAAGUUCAUCUGCUUUUCUGAAAAUUGGUGAACUUCUUAGGCUUCUAUGCCAUCUAUUGUGCAGGGAAGUCAAACUGAGCGAGUAUACAGAGGAUUGUUUGAAGAAUUAGUCAUAGUCAAAUACGGUGAUAUGUUGAAGAGGUUACUAGACAGCUUAAUAGUUUUGUAAAACAUCUGUUUGGAGGUCUAUGGUAUUGUUGAAAGCAUUAAUACUACACCCUUUAAAAAGCAAGGAAUGGUGUUUUACUAUUCAUCAAAUAGUGAAGUGACGGAUCCACCCUCACAUUCCUUCACGUUUUCAUUUUGUCGUUAUUCUUACAGACAGUAUAAUCACCUCUUUGCCCUCAUUCCCAGAUUUCCCCAAGUGCCUUCAUCCUUUUCUUCUCUCCAAGUGCCUUCAUCCUUUUCUUCUCCCCUACUGAUCCGCUGCCUCUUUGCUUUCUCUGAGAUUUCCUCCCCUUCCGUUUGCGAACGCUACCUCUCAUCUCUCCUCCGCCCCCUUAACUUUUCUCUCUCCUUUUCAAUAACCUCGGAUCAUCAGCAAAACGUCGCCGACCACCUGGAUCUCUCGCUUGGUACUCUCUAGUCUCUCCUUUUCUGUUUCGCUUUCAUAGCAGUGAGAAGGAAAUUGAUUUCAUCAAGGAUCUUGUUGCUGUUUUAUGGAAAUAAAUUGGUAGUUUGACGCGUUGAGGAGGCGAUUUCCCCCAAAAGUCAGGUGAUUUUAGAGAAGUGGCUAUUAAUCCACUGGGUUGCAUUUCAGUGCCGAUUAUGGGUUCAUCCUUCAGUAGUUGCUAAGAUUGAUGUCUGCAGUUUGGAGUGGUUGUGGCGGACGGGAAAAUAGGAAGAAUCAAUCAGUGCUAAUCCGACUCAAGCUGAAAAGGAGGAGGUUGAUUCUUGUUCAAUAUAUGUUGGCAAUUUGUGUAGGUAAUAUCUGCUUUUGAUUGACGGUUUGGGAGGGGAUAUGCAAGCCUCUUAGUUAAUUACCUAUGGGGAGGAACAAAUGUUGGUUUGGCACUGGCCAUUCCAAUGGUAGCUAGGAUAUAUCUUCCCUUUAUGAUGUACUCUGCGUACGCAAGGAAGAAUUAGCUGCAGAAGAUAUGCUCCAAGUGCAGAGCCAUAUGUCCAAUUUGUCUCUGGUUCUUUGGCACAUCGUUAGCUUGUACGGUUGUAGCACAUGUUAUCCAAUUGAACUUGCUCACGCUCGAAUGCAGGCAUUCAAGGAUACUGGAAAGGAGCUCCCUGGUGUAUUCUAGACCCAAAUUAGGACUUUCGAAUGCUAAAAAUACAACCACUUUUCAAGGCAAGUGGAAGCUGAAAUAAAACAAUGAAUGAGAAGAGCAAGACCAGGGUGAAUGUUCAAAGUUUGUAAGUAUAGAGAUAGUGCUAACUGAUUUAUGCUUAAUAUAAAUAAAAAAAAGGGAAAAACUCCAUUUUUGGUGUAGUUACAAAAAUAGACAUUUGUACUCAAGAGAUGAUUUUUGCUCUAGGUCAAUGAUGCCUCUAAUUUGAUUUAGGAGCCCUAUCUGUGGAGUUGGAUAGUUUUGCAAACUACUUUCAUUUGUAUGCUAUGGAGUAUAGAGAACUAUUCAUGUA